UACAGAGGGUGCGAGCGUUAAUCGGAAUUACUGGGCGUAAAGCGCACGUAGGUGGCGACGUAAGUCGGGUGUGAAAGCCCCGGGCUCAACCUGGGAAUUGCAUUCGAGACUGCAUUGCUGGAGUACGGAAGAGGAGGGCGGAAUUCCCGGUGUAGCGGUGAAAUGCGCAGAUAUCGGGAGGAACACCUAUGGCGAAGGCAGAUCGCUGGGACGUUACUGACGCUGAGACGCGAAAGCGUGGGGAGCAAACAGG
rnacentral:rRNA from 1 species